AAUCAACGCUGGCGGCGUGCCUAACACAUGCAAGUCGAACGCGAAAGCCCCGCAAGGGGCAGGUAGAGUGGCAAACGGGUGAGUAACACGUGGGUGACCUGCCUUCGAGCGGGGGAUAACGUCCCGAAAGGGUCGCUAAUACCGCAUGACAUCCUGCCUUUGAAGAGGUGGAGAUCAAAGCCGGGGAUUCGCAAGAACCUGGCACUCGAUGAGGGGCCCGCGCCUGAUUAGCUAGUUGGUGGGGUAAUGGCUCACCAAGGCAACGAUCAGUAUCCGGCCUGAGAGGGCGGACGGACACACUGGGACUGAGACACGGCCCAGACUCCUACGGGAGGCAGCAGUGGGGAAUUGUUCGCAAUGGGCGCAAGCCUGACGACGCAACGCCGCGUGGAGGAUGAAGACCUUCGGGUCGUAAACUCCUUUCGAUCGAGACGA
rnacentral:rRNA from 1 species